UUAAAAGAGGCAUCCGCUUCAAGGAAGGGCCUAUUCUUAAUGAAUUUGCACAAAAGGUGACGGAUUUACGAAACGCAGCCAAAAGUCGAAGCAACAAGAUGUUGGAUAAUUUCCUCAAAGUUAUCUACGCUGCUGCCAUCGGGGUUUGCUUGUCAGGAUCGAAGGGACAAAUGAAGCUUAAGCCUUGUGCGUCUAGGGCAAAAGCCCUCAAAUAUGCUUCGUCACACCAAUUACAGGAUUUCUGGCCCCUCAAUGAACAAAAACAAAUAUCUGUAUUUGGCUUCUCCAAAUCUACUCAACUUGUCAAUAAACCAAUAAUCAUAGGUUUUCAAGUCCUGGAACUCACGAAACUUGCGGUUCUGGAGGGUUAUCUGAGGAUGCGAUAAACAUUUCCAGACUGCAAAAUUAUUGCUGGAAAUACAGAUAGUUUAGCGCUGGAAAUUAAAAGCGAGAAUAACGACUUUUUGGAGAAAAUGCGCACACUGUCAGAUUUAUUUGAUUUUUCCGACCUCCCAUAUUCGUCUGAGCUCUGGUCACGAAGAAAUGUCAGCGUACCAGGAAAAUGGAAACCCAUCCAACUUGGCAACAUAUUGGAGUUUAUAUCUUUGGGACCAGCAACCUAUUCUUAUCUUCCCAUGUGCAUUUGUCGCGGGGAGAAGCCUUCAAUCUGUCCUGAGUGCAUUCAAACCAGAAAUGGGGUUCUUAAAUGUCCAGGACUGUCCAAAGUAGCUCGAUUACGAAUAUUUCACUCACAUUAUCGGAACCAUUUAGCUCAGCAUCAGGAAACCACCGUCACAUAUAAUCAAGUGAAGAGAACGCUCGAUGGACUUGAAAUUAACGCACAAACCAGACGACCCUUCACAUCAACUAUUCAAACGAGACAUUUUGUUUACGAUAAAACCAGUUAACCAUUUGGACAUUACAAAAUACAAAAUACAAAAUACAAUCUAAUGACUAAUGGCAUUAGUUUCCAUGUUCCACAAAAAAAUAGCAAACCUUACUUCACACAUUCCUUCUGAAUUUCCCAAGUUAAUUUAAAUCAUUUUCA